AAAAACAGACCCGCAAAAGGCUGUGUGAGAAGAUAAGAGGGGAAGAAAUUUUAGCUAGGGGGGCAUGCAUGAAGAAAGCUUUCGCUAGCAGAAAUGGAGCCAUGCCGGCAUGUCGGCGAUGUCGCUGUCAGCAUCGAUCAAUCGAUGUUGCUCGCGGCCAAACAAGGGGUAGCGGUAGCAGCGUCCAAGCGCACGAAUCGCCAGCUCCAACAAGUACAAGGAACAAUGAUGAUGCGAGUGAGACCCUAGCGGAUCGAGAAACGGGAAAGGUGUUUGGAGGAGAGCUCACCAGCGGACGUGGAGGUGCUGUUGCCGCUAUCCGAGGUGACGGCGACAGAGAGGAACAGCGUGGAAGGGCGCGGUGGAGGUGAAGCGAGGCGGUGGUGGCCCGUGGAAUCUCUGCCACGAGGAGCUGUCGGAGACGAGAGGUCGUCGAAGAGAUGGCGCGUCGGUGGCCUGGGGGCGGACAGCAACAGCACAGACAGAGCCUCGCCUGGUUUCGACUUUCGACUUUAGAGACGACUGACGAGGAGGCGGCGAUUUUCGUGCGGGCUUCCUAUCCCGAGAAAAAACUGGGAUCCGACGAGGAUAUGGGCUGUCAGGGGGUUUGCUACCCAAGACAAAAUCUGGCCUCUAUUCCCAAACUAGGCCAUACGCCCAUACAUGGCCUAUGGCCUUGGUGGGCUAGGCCCAGACCAUUAGUUACAUUGCGAAAGGAUUCAGGUGUUUUUUGUUGGGCUAGCAAACAGGCUAAAGGUAAUAAUUAGGUUUUUUUUCUGAUGUGCAUUUGCUGUGUUUGUGUGCACAGCAAAGUUUAAAAUAGUGGGCUAUAGCGAAGUUAUAGCCUAGCUAUAACAUUUUGGAGGAUCUAAACCUACGAUAUUUCACUUUUAGACGCUAUUUUACCUGCCACCACUAUAGCCCGAUUUAGCUCUGCUAGCUUUAGCACUAAAUAGCCACGCUAUUUCUACUUUUCAUGGUGUACAAAAAAAUAAUGAAUGUGAUGAAGAAGGAUGAGAAA